rfam:Microscilla marina ATCC 23134 1099589004110, whole genome shotgun sequence.
GAAAAGGCUGCUAUCGCAGCCACAAUCGUAAUUGUCAUAGUAGUGU